rnacentral:lncRNA from 1 species
CUUCCUGGUGAUUGGUUGAGACUUGCAAGAGACUGGAGGAAUGAUAAGAGCAGAAACAUUGCUGAAACUAAGCGCGCAGACUACUUGAGAUUGUAACACUUAUUCUUACUAGUCAAUAUGGCCCUUUUCUCUCCUGUGGAAGGAUAACUACUGUUUUUUAAUGGUAUGUAGCACCAGAUACCAGAUUGAGAAGAACGUUGAGUCGUUGACCAUAUUAUCACCCCCAAUAAGUAGCCAGAACAGUAAUCACCAGUUGAUCUUAGAAAAGGAAAAGUCUGCUGACUUGAAAGAUACUCUAGUAUGGCAGGUUGUUAAUAUAUUAUAUCCUGUUCUGAAUUUGAUCGAAUCUUUUAUUCAACCUUUCUAUUAGCUGGC